GCAUCGGUGGUUCAGUGGUAGAAUGCUCGCCUGCCACGCGGGCGGCCAGGGUACGAUUCCCGGCCGAUGCA
rnacentral:tRNA from 1 species